AGCAAUUAUCAAAAGAUUCCGUGAAGUACUAUGGGUUUCUAUUCUAACGAUUAGUUACUCUAUAGGUUGAGUUUAUAUACAUCAGAUCAUGUGUCCAAUUUGAAUAAAGGCUUGAUAGCUGCUAUUUUGCGAAUUGGCUUACACGGUUUUUCGGUUCACUAGGUGUAUUUGUGCAAUUAUAUUACAAGUCACCAGGCGCAGUAUCCUCGGAUCAUUUGUUUGACGAAAUGGAUCUUGGAUUCCAAGCUGCAUCUUAUAAACGUUUGACAACAUACCAAGGGAGAGAUCAGUUCCUUUUGGCUUAAAUGAGAGAAGGUAAUGUUAAACUUCAUGAAUCAGUAUACUUGGUAUGACGAAGGGCAUAGAUUGUAGUUGGCUCAGAAAUGAUUGCUAGACAGGUGACCUGGACAUGAUUGGGCUGCAGUUCGUACAGCCAUAAAUCUUGAAUUGAAAUCAUUUUCAUCUCCGCGAUCUCUGCUGAUUACAAUUACCGAUUAUUCAACGAGUUCCCUCCUUGUCAAUCGUAAUUGUGCCGGUAUUAUUAAUUUGAUGCGUUAAAGAUUUUGUUGUACUUAUGGACAAUGUUUGAUUUUCACAUUUGGUG
rnacentral:misc_RNA from 1 species